rnacentral:tRNA from 1 species
UCGCCGUUGGCGAGGUUGUGCUUGCGGUUGUAGCUGGUGAGGUCGGUCAGGGUGAAGCCGUCGUGCGAGGUGACGAAGUUGAU